UACGUAGGGGGCAAGCGUUGUCCGGAUUUAUUGGGCGUAAAGAGCGUGUAGGCGGCCUGGAAGGUCAGUUGUGAAAUCUCCGGGCUUAACUCGGAAAGGUCAACUGAUACUGUGCGACUAGAGUGCGGAAGGGGCAACUGGAAUUCUCGGUGUAGCGGUGAAAUGCGUAGAUAUCGAGAGGAACACCUGCGGCGAAGGCGGGUUGCUGGGCCGACACUGACGCUGAUGCGCGAAAGCCAGGGGAGCGAACGGG
rnacentral:rRNA from 1 species